rnacentral:siRNA from 1 species
GGGUAAUCGCCUUCACGAC